AUCUACAGACAUGCUGCCCUGAACGUGCCCGAUCCCUUCUGAUCUUAGAAGAUAAGCAGCAUUGGGCCCGGUUAGUACUUGGAUGGGAGACCACCUAGGAAUACCAGGUGCUGUAGGUG
rnacentral:rRNA from 1 species